AGCAGUCGCCGCGGGAAUACGUAGGUGGCAAGCGUUGUCCGGAAUUAUUGGGCGUAAAGGGCUCGCAGGCGGUUUCUUAAGUCUGAUGUGAAAGCCCCCGGCUCAACCGGGGAGGGUCAUUGGAAACUGGGAAACUUGAGUGCAGAAGAGGAGAGUGGAAUUCCACGUGUAGCGGUGAAAUACGUAGAGAUGUGGAGGAACACCAGUGGCGAAGGCGACUCUCUGGUCUGUAACUGACGCUGAGGAGCGAAAGCGUGGGGAGCGAACAGGAUUAGAUACCCCCGUAGUCCCUGUCUCUUAUAC
rnacentral:rRNA from 1 species